CACAUGCAAGUCGAGCGGUAACAGAUCCAGCUUGCUGGAUGCUGACGAGCGGCGGACGGGUGAGUAAUGCAUAGGAAUCUGCCCGAUAGUGGGGGAUAACCUGGGGAAACCCAGGCUAAUACCGCAUACGUCCUACGGGAGAAAGGGGGCUCCGGCUCCCGCUAUGGGAUGAGCCUAUGUCGGAUUAGCUAGUUGGUGAGGUAACGGCUCACCAAGGCCACGAUCCGUAGCUGGUCUGAGAGGAUGAUCAGCCACAUCGGGACUGAGACACGGCCCGAACUCCUACGGGAGGCAGCAGUGGGGAAUAUUGGACAAUGGGGGCAACCCUGAUCCAGCCAUGCCGCGUGUGUGAAGAAGGCCCUCGGGUUGUAAAGCACUUUCAGCGAGGAAGAACGCCUGUCGGUUAAUACCCGGUAGGAAAGACAUCACUCGCAGAAGAAGCACCGGCUAACUCCGUGCCAGCAGCCGCGGUAAUACGGAGGGUGCAAGCGUUAAUCGGAAUUACUGGGCGUAAAGCGCGCGUAGGUGGCUUGAUAAGCCGGUUGUGAAAGCCCCGGGCUCAACCUGGGAACGGCAUCCGGAACUGUCAAGCUAGAGUGCAGGAGAGGAAGGUAGAAUUCCCGGUGUAGCGGUGAAAUGCGUAGAGAUCGGGAGGAAUACCAGUGGCGAAGGCGGCCUUCUGGACUGACACUGACACUGAGGUGCGAAAGCGUGGGUAGCAAACAGGAUUAGAUACCCUGGUAGUCCACGCCGUAAACGAUGUCGACCAGCCGUUGGGUGCCUAGCGCACUUUGUGGCGA
rnacentral:rRNA from 1 species